AACGAACGCUGGCGGCAGGCCUAACACAUGCAAGUCGAACGAGAAGCCACCUUCGGGUGGUGGACAGUGGCAGACGGGUGAGUAACGCAUCGGAACGUGCCCAGUAGUGGGGGACAACCUCGAGAAAUCGAGGCUAAUACCGCAUACGACCCACGGGUGAAAGCGGGGGACCGCAAGGCCUCGCGCUAUUGGAGCGGCCGAUGUCCGAUUAGCUAGUUGGCGGGGUAAGAGCCCACCAAGGCGACGAUCGGUAGCUGGUCUGAGAGGACGACCAGCCACACUGGGACUGAGACACGGCCCAGACUCCUACGGGAGGCAGCAGUGGGGAAUUUUGGACAAUGGGGGCAACCCUGAUCCAGCCAUGCCGCGUGCGGGAAGAAGGCC
rnacentral:rRNA from 1 species